rnacentral:misc_RNA from 1 species
GUAAGUGAACCUGCGGAAGGAUCAUUAUUGAAUGAACGUAGAGUCGGUUGUCGCUGGUCCUUUCGGGGACAUGUGCACGCCUUCUCUUUCAUCCACACACACCUGUGCACUCGUGAGACGGGAGCCCUCGGGCGUCCGUCUACUCUAUAUAAACUCAUAUCUAUAAUUUGGAUGUAAUUGAUGUAACACAUCUUUAAACUAAGUUUCAACAACGGAUCUCUUGGCUCUC